AAAAAAAGGAAAAAAAAAAAAAGAUAUAUGGUUUGGUUGGUCGCUCAUGGAUAGAUUAUGAUGAGGCAUUUAGUACUAUAAGCAAGAUUGCUAUUCUAUGUGUCCUACUAUGACUUUCAGUCAGUAAGUCUUGGAAACUUUAGAAAAUAGACGUCAAAAACAAUUUUUCACAGAUAAUUGGAUCAUGACAUAUAUCAAAAGCAAUUGAGAGGGUUUGAUAGCAAGCCUUGCCCAGGUUACACAUCUAAGCUGAAAAAAAAAAGUACCAACCAUACAGGCUAAAACAGGCACCGAGAGGAAAGCAUGAUAAAGCAAGAUAGCAGAAGGGUGGUUACUCAGUUGCACUAACAUAUUUGAGCGUGUUUGUAAGAAAUGACAAACUGAUAAGAGUGUUAGCUUACAUGGAUAACUUGAUCAUUCACUAGAUAUGAUGAAGGUGAAUUUUCUCAAAUAAAAGAGAACUCCAUAGUGCAAUUCGAAAUGGAAGAGCUUGGAAAGUCGAAACACUUUCUUGGCCUUGAAGUGGAAAGUAAAAGGGAUUGGUUGUUUUCUUUGCCAGAAAAAAGGUAUACAAGAUUCUCUUAUGGAAAUUUGGUAUGCUCAAGUGCAAACCAAUCUCAACCCCUAGAGAGGUCAAUACUAAGCUAUGCAAUGGAGAAGGCAAACAAUUGGAGGAUGCCACUAUAAAUCAGUACUUGGUGAACAAUUUUCUCCCUACGCAUCACAUGACCUGAUAUUCAUUUGCAUGAAGAAGCCUCAUUUAUAAGUUUGAAGCAUGAUGAGGUAUGUCAAAGUUACUAUAAAACUAAUCAAGAUAGAAGAUUAAGUGGUUCACGAAUUUACUCAAUGACUCAGUAGCACCAAGUUUCCAUAGAUCCCGGCACAGCUUGGCAAUAUUACAGAAAAGCAAGUCUCCAUCGAGGGAGAAAUGAAGAUCAACACAACCUCCACCAAAUUCUCUAGAACUCUAGUCUAUUCAUUAUUUUCUGAUAAGUUUUCAAUAGUCAGUAACUAACAUCAUGAAAGUUUUUCAUCUAAGAUGGUGUCAAUGAGUCUAGAGCUCUCUAACUAUAACUCUUUUUAAGACAUAAAAUAUGACUCUUUUUAACUAUUACACUCUUAUCAACUCACUUUAACUCCCAAUAAAACUCCAACUCAUUUUCACCUGCUCAAUAUUACAUGACUUCACCACAGUUGCAGAGUAUUUUCACUCACACUUUGAUUCUUCUUUGUUUCUCAUUUAUACACAAAGUACAAUGAAACAAACCGUAUUUGUAGCCAAAUGAAUCAGCUAGAGGACAAGAUAGGAGAACUCUAAAAUACAGCUCUUGUCAGAGUUGGUAGUUGCAGACCACGGAAAAACUCAUGAGGGAAAAUUUGAGAAAGCUGAAUAGUUCAAGAGAAAAGAGGUGUUCUCUUUCUUGAAAGUCCCAGCUGAACUAACAGUUCCAUCAUCACUUUCUAAACAGUGAUUGAAAUAGGAGGGUAUGGUCAAAUUCCUUUUUGGCUCCAUUUAGACAGAUGUGAUUUCAAAUUAUGAUGUAUUUGAACCAUUAGAAAUCAUGUUGAAAUUUACAAGUUUUCACUUGAUGAAACAUAAAUCCAAAUCUUCAUUCAUCUCAACUAUGCCUAAAAACAGAAAAUAUCAAAGGCAAACCUAACCUAAGAAAUUGCAAGAAUUUCACAACGAUUCUGAAGGAAUGGGUGUUGGAAAACUGCUGAUUGCAAAGCCUUCGCUUAAGGAAUGUAGUUAGAAAGGGACAAAAAAAUGCUCCACUAGCAAUAGUAUAUUAAAAUUUACUAUCCCCAGUAAAGAGCAAAAUUUAAUACAUGAGAAAUCAAAGAGUUAUUACUGCUUUCAAAUGACAGGAGAACAAUCUGGCAGCAUUGUAUCUCAAGUCUACUAUAAAACCAACAAUGUAAAGAAAGAAAAGGACAAUAGCCAAAGCAGAUUAAUGCCAAUUCAAAAACUCACUAAACAUCCAGAAUCAACCGCUUGAAAUCCAUUACCUGCUUGUUUGUCAGCGUAGUGGGUUUACUCUCUCUCUCUCUCUCUC
rnacentral:misc_RNA from 1 species